GGGAGCUACAUGGCCUUCUACGGUCUGGCCUCAGAGGUUACACAGCAUCAAUUCCACCCCCUCCCCGGGUUACCAGCGAGUCACAGGCCUGCCCAGGGUCAAGGCACAAGGUUCUAGAAGAGCACGUGGAGCGGGAGAUGCUAUCGUGGCCACGAGAUGUUCUAUCCAGACUCAAGCACAAAAGGUCCUCCCAGCCACUGGGCACCCAACCUCAGCCUUCUCCCCACUGGUGGGCCUGGAAUCUGGCCCACCCGGCUCAGCAGCUGUUACCU